rnacentral:tRNA from 1 species
GCUCCGGUGGUGUAGCCCGGCCAAACAAAAUAGUGGCUAAGCAUAAGGGGCUUUCGCCUCCUCGACCCGGGUUCGAAUCCCGGCCGGAGCACCA